AUGUGCAUUUCUGUCCGGAG
rnacentral:piRNA from 1 species